rnacentral:rRNA from 1 species
GAUGAACGCUGGCGGCGUGCCUAAUACAUGCAAGUCGAGCGAACGGACGAGAAGCUUGCUUUUCUGAUGUUAGCGGCGGACGGGUGAGUAACACGUGGAUAACCUACCUAUAAGACUGGGAUAACUUCGGGAAACCGUAGCUAAUACCGGAUAAUAUUUUGAACCGCAUGGGUCAAGAGUGAAAGACGGUCUUUCUGUCACUUAUAGAUGGAUCCGCGCUGCAUUAGAUAGUUGGUAAGGUAACGGCUUACCAAGGCGACGAUGCAUAGCCGACCUCAGAGGGAGAUCGGCCACACUGGAACUGAGACACGGUCCAGACUCCUACGGGAGGCAGCAGUAGGGAAUCUUACGCAAUGGGCGAAAGCCUGACGGAGCAACGCCGCGUGAGUGAUGAAGGUCUUCGGAUCGUAAAACUCUGUUAUUAGGGAAGAACAUAUGUGUAAGUAACUGUGCACAUCUUGACGGUACCUAAUCAGAAAGCCACGGCUAACUACGUG